UUACGGCCUUAUCAUGUUGAAACACCAGGUUCCUCUACAAUCCCCAAAAGUUAAGCAACGUCGAGCCUGAUCAGUACCUAGAUGGGUGACUGCUUGGGAAUACCAGAUGCU